GCCGGGGUGGCGGAAUCGGCAGACGCAGCGGACUUAAAAUCCGUCGGCCGCGAGGCUAUGUGGGUUCGAGUCCCACCCCCGGUACCA
rnacentral:tRNA from 1 species